rnacentral:rRNA from 1 species
GACGAACGCUGGCGGCGUGCUUAACACAUGCAAGUCGAACGGAAAGGCCCUGCUUUUGUGGGGUGCUCGAGUGGCGAACGGGUGAGAAACACGUGAGUAACCUGCCCUUGACUUUGGGUUAACUUCAGGAAACUGGGGCUAAUACCGGAAAGGAGCUCCGGCUGCAUGGUGGGGGUGGGAAAGUUUCGGCGGUUGGGGAUGGACUCGCGGCUUAUCAGCUUGUUGGUGGGGUAGUGGCUUACCAAGGCUUUGACGGGUAGCCGGCCUGAGAGGGUGACCGGCCACAUUGGGACUGAGAUACGGCCCAGACUCCUACGGGAGGCAGCAGUGGGGAAUAUUGCACAAUGGGCGGAAGCCUGAUGCAGCAACGCCGCGUGCGGGAUGACGGCCUUCGGGUUGUAAACCGCUUUCGCCUGUGACGAAGCGUGAGUGACGGUAAUGGGUAAAGAAGCACCGGCUAACUACGUG